CAGUAGUCACGUAGUUUGAUCAUGGCUCAAGAACGACGCUGGCGGCAUGCCUAACACAUGCAAGUCGAACGAGACCUUCGGGUCUAGUGGCGCACGGGUGCGUAACACGUGGGAAUUUGCCUCGGGGUAUGGAAUAACUCAGGGAAACUUGAGCUAAUACCAUAUAAUGUCUUCGGACCAAAGAUUUAUCGCCCUGAGAUAAGCCCGCGUAGGAUUAGCUAGUUGGUGGGGUAAAGGCUCACCAAGGCGACGAUCCUUAGCUGGUCUGAGAGGAUGAUCAGCCACACUGGGACUGAGACACGGCCCAGACUCCUACGGGAGGCAGCAGUGGGGGAAUAUUGGACAAUGGGCGAAAGCCUGAUCCAGCAAUGCCGCGUGAGUGAUGAAGGCCUUCGGGUUGUAAAGCUCUUUUACUCGGGACGAUAAUGACGGUACCGAGAGAAUAAGCCCCGGCUAACUCCGUG
rnacentral:rRNA from 1 species